GACGAACGCUGGCGGCGUGCUUAACACAUGCAAGUCGAACGGUAAGGCCCUUCGGGGUACACGAGUGGCGAACGGGUGAGUAACACGUGGGUGAUCUGCCCUGCACUUCGGGAUAAGCCUGGGAAACUGGGUCUAAUACCGGAUAGGACCACUGCCUGCAUGGGUGGUGGUGGAAAGCUUUUGCGGUGUGGGAUGGGCCCGCGGCCUAUCAGCUAGUUGGUAAGGUAACGGCUUACCAAGGCUAUGACGGGUAGCUGGAUUGAGAGAUCGAUCAGCCACAGGGGAACUGAGACACGGUCCCCACUCCUACGGGAGGCAGCAGCGAGGAAUCUUCCGCAAUGGGCGAAAGCCUGACGGAGCAACACCGCGUGAAGGAUGAAGUCUUCCGGGAUGUAAACUUCUUUUCUGAGGGAAGAAUUCUGACGGUACCUUAGGAAUAAGCACCGGCUAACUCUGUGCCAGCCGCCGCAGUAA
rnacentral:rRNA from 1 species